UUGUCCCCAUUAUCUUCUGUGUGGCUCUCGUCAUCUGCUGUGUGGCCCCUUGCUGCUUGCUCUACAAGAGGUGUAAAGAACGACGCAACCCAAGGCCCCACACUGUGAUAAGCACCACCGCUGUAGUCGGCGUUCCCCAGCAACCGCUGCCCCCCUCUGGACAUCAGCUGUCCUACCCAGGCUACCAGCCUGUUCCUGUCCAGCCCGGAUAUGAAGACCCAUCCCAUGCUACAGCACCACCACCUUCAUACUUGGAAGCUAUUGAUCCAGCUCACUUUCCAGGUCCAUUCACUCAGGGACACCCCACCCAACCUCUGGGCCCGCCUCAUGCACCUUCACCACAUUUAGAAGAACUUGCACAGCCACC